rnacentral:rRNA from 1 species
UACGGGGGGUGCAAGCGUUGUUCGGAAUUACUGGGCGUAAAGGGCUCGUAGGCGGCCAACUAAGUCAGACGUGAAAUCCCUCGGCUUAACCGGGGAACUGCAUCUGAUACUGGAUGGCUUGAGUUCGGGAGAGGGAUGCGGAAUUCCAGGUGUAGCGGUGAAAUGCGUAGAUAUCUGGAGGAACACCGGUGGCGAAGGCGGCAUCCUGGACCGGCACUGACGCUGAGGAGCGAAAGCCAGGGGAGCAAACGGG